CCUACGGGAGGCAGCAGUGGGGAAUAUUGCACAAUGGGGGAAACCCUGAUGCAGCGACGCCGCGUGUGGGAAGACGGUCCUCUGGAUUGUAAACCACUGUCCCCAGGGACGAAGAUGACGGUACCUGGGGAGGAAGCUCCGGCUAACUACGUGCCAGCAGCCGCGGUAAUACGUAGGGAGCGAGCGUUGUCCGGAAUUACUGGGUGUAAGGGGAGCGUAGGCGGGGAUGCAAGUUGGGUGUCAAAACUACCGCCCCAACUGGUAGUCGCACUCAAAACUGCAGUUCUUGAGUGAAGUAGAGGCAGGCGGAAUUCCGGGUGUAGCGGUGAAAUGCGUAGAUAUUAGGAGGAACACCAGUGGCGAAGGCGGCCUGCUGGGCUUUUACUGACGCUGAGGCUCGAAAGUGUGGGGAGCAAACAGGAUUAGAUACCCCAGUAGU
rnacentral:rRNA from 1 species